UCGCUGUUUUAGGGGCAGUAGAUGCGAGACCUGCUCGUUCCCAAUUCACUGGGGAUUUGUCAUUAUGAUUUUUUUCUAAUUAAGUUGAAAUAUAUGAACUUUGGCGUCUACAGAAGCGUAUAUCAUCACGUAACAACGUCGGAGAUAAUGUCGUGUUUGACAAGCGGAAGAGGCUGCUCAAACCUUAACGCCAGGAGGAGACACACUUCACAUCGAUACAAAAGGGGGCGCAUUGAAAACAGUUUCCUGCUCGAGGUCUUGUUUUGGAACAGCACUGUCACUCUGUUCUGCAUUCCUAGAAAGCCAUACACUCCUCACUCAGCUGACAGUCUUGGCAGAUACCUUGGCACAUAAGAAACUACAGAAUAUACACAGCUCAUUCAGGUGCAGCCUUGCAGAUCACUACAAAACCUGAAGGACCGAGAUAACCACACUAGAUGACAGUCGCUGAGUCAUCUAAGGCCUGUAUAUGAAUGCUUUUCUUGGAACAGCCUCUCAACUUUCUGAACUAUGUCUUUGAUGUGUGAUUGUGAUGAGUGAAAAUGAUACAGCAUUGUUGCCAUUGACAAGUAUAUCGAUAUGUGUGACAGAUAUAUAUGUUUGUGAAAUGUAUUCAGUCCAUGUUGAUAAAGUAUCUUAAUUUAGCAUUCAAACUUACGAAGAGUUACGAAGCAGACUAUUUAAUAAUUAAAAAAAAAAAGUGUGAUAAAUAGACUUGACUCCAGCUCUAAGGUGGGCCAAAGAUUUUUCAGGGUGAGUCGGACAACACUAUAUUACCCAGGGUGGGGUGAGCUAGGCUUGCCAAUAAAUCUGUAAUAAAUGUAAUACACACUCAUGUUUCUGAAGAAAAGGCUGACCUUCACUUUCAACAUAAACCAAUAUAAAAAUCCUUAUAAAUAUGAGACAAAUUUCUCCAGAAGAAGCCAUCGUCCAUCUGAGAGCGAAAGAUCCGUGACGGCGUUUAUUUCCGAUAGGGCACUUUCCUCUUCUGCAGAAAGAGGAAGCGUGUAUUUGGAUGUGUGAGAGGUGGGGGCAGUUUCACAAUGAGGUUUAAGAGAUAUGACAUGUUGCCAACCUUUCACAAUGAAAGAACUUCAAAAAUGAUUUCCCAUACAGAAGCAAUACAGAACUUCACUUUACUGUCAGGAAGAUGCGCAAUAUAAAAACUCUACACUGUAAUGAUUGUCUCAGCACUGCAGACAUUUCUAGGCCAGUCGUUCAGCGCUUUGCUAUGGUCAUCAUUUCUAGCAUGCUACGUUUUUUUUCUCCUCAUGCACAUUCAAUAGCAGAUUGAAUGCCUACAAUAUAUAUAUAUAUAUAUUGUUGUAUACAGUCAUGGCCAAAAAUCUUGGCAAAUUCUGUCAGAAACUCGCAUGUUUAUUUUUAUUUUAUUGGUUUGCAUUGGAACAACACAAAAAAAAACAGAGAAGCAAAGUCAAAUCUGAUACAAUUCCAUAAAGAACCCAAAAAAUGCACUGGACAAAAUUAUUGGCACCUUUAACUUAAUAUUUGGUAGCAGCCCUUUGUAAAAAAUAACUGAAAUCAAUCACUUCCUGUAACCAUGAAUGAGUUCUUUACACCUCUCUACUGGAAUUUUGGACUACUCUUCUUUUGCAAACCACUCCAGGUCAUUCAGAUUUGAAGGAUGUCUUCUCCCAACUGUUGUUUUGAGAUCUCUCCACAGGUGUUCUAUGGGAUUCAGAUCUGGACUUAUUGCUGGCCAUUUCAGAACUCUCCAGUGCUUUGUUUGUAACCAUUUCUGAGUGCUUUUUGAAGUGUGUUUCAGGUCAUUGUCCUGCUGGAAGACCCAUGACCUCUGGUGGAGACGCAGCUUUCUGACACUGGCCACUGUGUUGCACCCCAAAAUUCUUUGGUAAUCAUCAAAUUUCAUGAUACUGUUCACACAGUCAAGGAUCCAGUGCCAGAAGCAGCAAAGCAACCCCAAAACAUUUUUGAACCUCCACCAUGUUUGACUGUAGGGACUGUGUUCUUUUCUUUGAAGGCCUCAUUUCUUUUUCUGUAAACAGUGCCAUGAUGUCCUGUACCAAAAAGCUCGACUUAUGUCUCAUCUGUCCACAGUUCGUUCUCCCAGAAGGAUUGUGGUCUUGUCACAAGUUUUGGCAGACUCCAGUCUUGCUUUUUUUUAUGCCUUUGUGUCAGCAGUGGUGUCCUCCUGGGUCUCCUACCAUAGUGUCCCUUUUCAUUCAGAUGGCGAUGGAUAGGGUGAGCUGACACUGUUGUACCCUGUGUCUGCAGAUCAGCUUGAAUUUGUUUGGAAGUUAAUCGGGGUUCUUUAUCCACCAUUCGAACAGUCCUUCCUUGUAAUUUUUCAUUAAUUUUGCUCUUCUGUCCACAUCCAGGGAGGUAAACUACAGCGCCAUGGGCUGUAAACCUCUUGAUGAUAUUGCGCACAGUGGACACAGGAACAUUAAGAUCUCUGGAGAUGGACUGUAGCCUUGAGAUUGUCCAUGUAUUUCCACAUUUUUUUCUCUUAAAUCCACAGACAACUCUUUACAUUUUUUCUUUUCUCCAUGCUCAGUGUGACACACAACACAAAGGUUGAGUCAACUUUUCUCCAUUUUAAAUGGUUACAAGUGUGAUUAAUAUAUUGCCCACACCUGUUACUUGCCACAGGUGUGUCUAAAUACAAAUUACAGGAGCAUCACAUGCUUCUUACAAUUUUGACAAAGUGCCAAUAAUUUUGUCCAGUCCAUUUUUGAGUUCUGUGUGAAAUUUUGUCAAGUUUGACUUGUUUUUUUUUGUGUGUGUGUGUGUGUGUGUAUGUGUGUGUUGUUGCAGUGCAAACAAAAACAAUAAGCAUGUGACUACCAAAACAUUUGCAAUUGGAACAAUUUUCGGAGAGAAGUGUUGCUUUUUUUGACAGAAUUGCAAGGGUACUGAUAUUUUUGGCCAUGACUAUAUGUAUAUUCGACACAUACAUCUUCCGUGUUAGUCUCCACUGUGUGUCAGCAGCACCACAUGCAUGCGUUGUGAGACGGUGGAGAGGAAAUUGUUAAAUGUUGCUAUUUAUGUUUUUGUUGUGCUCAAAAAGUAUUCUCGUAGCUUCAUAACACUACAGUUGAACUACUGAUGUCCUUACUACCUUUCUGGGCCUUGAACAUGUCAGUUGCGUUGCUGUCUAUGCAGGGUCAUAAAGCUCUCGGAUUUUAUCAAAAACAUCUUAAUUUGAGUUCUGAAGAUGAACGAAAGUCUUACAGGUUUAGAAUGACAUGAGGGUGAGUAAUUAAUGACAGAAAUUUCAUUUUUUGAGUGAACUUUCCCUUUAAGGGAAUUCACGAUUGCCUAUUUGUUUUGUGAAUUUUAUGCUUUGUUCUUAUAGUACCUCAAUUACAAUGUGUUAGAUGAGAGUUUUCUCUGCACAUCCGAAUGUGCAUGUUUCCAGUACCUCUUUGGGAACGAUAUAUAAAUAGUGUUGAGAGCUGUGUGCACUGCGUUAUGGUCCUGAAUAGCUGCUUUGUUGAGUGUUAAGUUACAGUACACUGCUGAAGCAGUCAUGAGCCUGAGAGUGUGUGUGUGUGUGUGUGUAAGAGACCUUAUUUGCCUCAGAUGCCAUCUUAAUUCUAUGCUGUAAUCAAUCUGUCACCUCCCAGAUCUUGUGAUGUUACUUUAGAGAGCAUGUAAUUAGAAGAAGGUGAUGUUAAAGGGAAAACUCACUCGAAAAUAAAAAUUCUGACAUUGAGAAAUACUCAAAGUAUCAAAACACAUUAUUUGCCAUAUUACACAAUGAUUGUCUGUAUAGUUGCAUACUGGUACAUUCCCUGACUUAUUAAAUGUAUGUGA